UGGGGAAUAUUGCACAAUGGACGGAAGUCUGAUGCAGCGACGCCGCGUGGGGGAUGAAGGCUUUCGGGUUGUAAACUCCUUUCAGUACAGAAGAAGCUUUAUUGUGACGGUAUGUGCAGAAGAAGCGCCGGCUAACUACGUGCCAGCAGCCGCGGUAAUACGUAGGGCGCGAGCGUUGUCCGGAAUUAUUGGGCGUAAAGAGAUCGUAGGCGGUUUGUCGCGUCUGCUGUGAAAGACCGGGGCUUAACUCCGGGGCUGCAGUGGGUACGGGCAGGCUGGAGUGCGGUAGGGGUAACCGGAAUUCCUGGUGUAGCGGUGGAAUGCGCAGAUAUCAGGAGGAACACCGAUGGCGAAGGCAGGUUACUGGGCCGUUACUGACGCUGAGGAGCGAAAGCAUGGGGAGCGAACAGG
rnacentral:rRNA from 1 species